rnacentral:rRNA from 1 species
CGCUAUAGCGGCCGCGAUUCGCCCUUAGAGUUUGAUCCUGGCUCAGGACGAACGCUGGCGGCGUGCUUAACACAUGCAAGUCGAACGGAAAUAAAGGAGCUUGCUCCUUUUGAUUAGUGGCGAACGGGUGAGUAACACGUGGGCAACCUGCCCCUGACUCUGGGAUAACUAUUCGAAAGAGUAGCUAAUACCGGAUAUGAAACCUGGAGUCAUCUUCGGGUUUGGAAAGUUUUUCGGUCAGGGAUGGGCCCGCGGCCUAUCAGCUAGUUGGUAAGGUAAUGGCUUACCAAGGCGACGAUCAGUAGCUGGUCUGAGAGGAUGAUCAGCCACACUGGGACUGAGACACGGCCCAGACUCCUACGGGAGGCAGCAGUGAGGAAUUUUCCGCAAUGGGCGAAAGCCUGACGGAGCAAUACCGCGUGAAGGAUUAAGGCCUAUGGGUUGUAAACUUCUUUUUUCAGAGAAGAAUUUUGACGGUAUCUGAAGAAUAAGCAUCGGCUAACUCUGUGCCAGCAGCCGCGGUAAGACAGAGGAUGCAAGCGUUAUCCGGAUUAAUUGGGCGUAAAGCGUCUGUAGGUGGUUUAUCAAGUUUUUUGUCAAAGAUCGGGACCUAACCCCGGGCAGGCAGAGAAAACUAAUAGACUUGAGUUCGGUAGGGGCAGAGGGAAUUCCCGGUGGAGCGGUGAAAUGCGUAGAGAUCGGGAGGAACACCAAAGGCGAAGGCACUCUGCUGGGCCGCAACUGACACUGAGAGACGAAAGCGAGGGUAGCAAAUGGGAUUAGAUACCCCAGUAGUCCUCGCCGUAAACGAUGGAUACUAGGUGUUGGAUGAGUUCAAUCAUUCAGUACCAUAGCUAACGCGUGAAGUAUCCCGCCUGGGGAGUACGCUCGCAAGAGUGAAACUCAAUGGAAUUGACGGGGGCCCGCACAAGCGGUGGAGCAUGUGGUUUAAUUCGAUGCAACGCGAAGAACCUUACCAGGUCUUGACAUGUCACUUUUUUCUUGAAAAGAAGUUCCCGAGUGAACACAGUGGUGCAUGGCUGUCGUCAGCUCGUGUCUGAGAUGUUGGGUUAGUCCCGCACGAGCGCACCCUUAUCUGUGUGCUAUUUAUAGGAAACUCAGAAAGACUGCG